rnacentral:rRNA from 1 species
GGAAUUUUGGACAAUGGGCGAAAGCCUGAUCCAGCAAUGCCGCGUGUAGGAUGAAGGCCCUCGGGUUGUAAACUACUUUUGUACGGAACGAAAAGACACCUUCUAAUACAGGGUGUCGAUGACGGUACCGUAAGAAUAAGCACCGGCUAACUACGUGCCAGCAGCCGCGGUAAUACGUAGGGUGCAAGCGUUAAUCGGAAUUACUGGGCGUAAAGCGUGCGCAGGCGGUUAUGUAAGACAGAGGUGAAAUCCCCGGGCUCAACCUGGGAACGGCCUUUGUGACUGCAUAGCUAGAGUACGGUAGAGGGGGAUGGAAUUCCGCGUGUAGCAGUGAAAUGCGUAGAUAUGCGGAGGAACACCGAUGGCGAAGGCAAUCCCCUGGACCUGUACUGACGCUCAUGCACGAAAGCGUGGGGAGCAAACAGGAUUAGAUACCCCAG